AGUAUCUGGUUCUGAUGAAGAGGCAGAAGCAAGACAGACAGACAGACAGGCCAGCGUCUGGGACAGGCAGACAGGCCAGUCCUGCCAUGGCCCUUGGCCUCAGCCCAGUGGAAAGGGUUGCAGGACUCAUCUCUCUCCAGUCCGCAGAGGAAGUCAGACCCGCAGCCUAGCCUGGGAAAGAGGGCAGAGAAGAUGACCCUGUGACAUGGUGUGGAGGAAGCCCCAGCAGUACUGUCAGAGCCAACAAAACAGGAACACAAGCCGGAGAUAAAUAGCAUCGAAGAACGAAUGAAAAGCAAGACAGGUUUUGAAAGGGAGCUUAUCAGAUCCACAGAAGAGGGCAAGGAUGACUACAGAGCAAAAAAGAAGGAGAGCUCCAACAUGGCAUUUCCUGUCUAAAGUUCUGCUCAUCUGGCAACACUUGGUUUCAACACUUAAUCUGAUAAAGGAAAUGGAAGGAACUGUACUUGCUGGUCUUACCAAUAGUUUAGACAUCAAUGCCUGGAUGUGACACUCUCACCUAAACUCACUAUUCAUUCUUGUGGGUGAAUCAUCCUACCACAACAUUUCCAGUGUUUGACAUAUCUGAUUCUCUGCCUUCCCCUUCAAGAUAAUAAUUGAAUUUACAAGUUUACUUUAUUUCAAUAACUUUUCUAUUUCACAACUACUGCAUACAUUUGGUUUGUGAAAUUGCAACAAUACCUAGCAACAGGUGAUUAGGCUACAAACAUACAGUUCUUUCAGAAAGUAUUCCUACACCUUGAUUUAUUCCACAAUUUGUUGUUUUACAGUUUGAAUUCAAAAUGGAUUAAAUAUAUUUUGUUCUCACCCAUCAACACAUAAUACCCCAUUAUG